CGUUUGGGAAAUAAAGUUUAUAGAAGGCCCGAGUUAACGGGACUUAAAAUGAAACGGGUUAUAACUACCCCAAACCCACUAAGUUAAUUUGGAACAUUUAAAGUUAGUUAUGAGAAUUGGUUAAUUACUAGUAAGUAAUAUAUAAGGGUUUAACAAAAGCUAAAACUAGAGGGACCUAAGAUGUUAAAAGGGAAACUUGAGAUUUAAAGUUGGAAAUUUGACAUAACACACACACUAGGUGUGUGUAUGUCGAUCGACCAGGAGAAGAGAACAAGGGGUGCAAACCCUAGUUCAUCAAAAUCUUCAAAUUGAAGGAUCCAAUCAAGUCCAAACCGAAAAUCGAGCAUAGAUUAAUGAUCCCCAUUGCAAGGAGAUCAUAAGUUGGCGCUUAACAAGCUAGGUGAAGCUUGGGGAGAAAGCGGGUCAAACAAAUCAAGAAGGAAAGGAAAAGUGUAGCUUGGAUACGAGGUAAGUGAAACUUACACCCUUGUGUAUGACACUUGUUUAUUUUAUAAACUAUAAAUGCGAAAGAUGUAAUACCCCAAAAUAAGGGUUCCGACACGACCGAUACAAGUCGGAACGAGUAUAAAUGAUAAAAACCAUAAUUUAUGGUAAACGGGGCAAAUGGGUGGAUUUGGAAAUCUAAAACCAUGCCUUUAUUCUAAUUUAUGUAAAUGUUUGGUCUUAUAGUCCAAACGGGUCAAAUGGUGAUGAAACACCAUUUGACAAUAUCGACUAAUAUGAUUGUCAAGUCGUAUGUUAUCAGGAGUGAUUAGCAAUUUGGAGAAUUGCGACGCCAUAGAAUGUUGGUUAAUUAACGCGAGACAUAAAACGGGUCUAUAUGUUGAUUCGAGCCAGGUACUUUGUGGAUGCCGGAAGAAGAUCAAGCUCAACGAAGAACCGAACACGAAAUAGAUACACGUUUCCGCACAUUGCCACGUUGUAAAUUUUAAACAACGAACUCGAUUACAUUAUGUUGACUAACUUAUGAUUUGUUAAAAGUUUUAAUAAACCCGCAUUUAUAUGAUGUGUGUGGUCUUAACUACACAUCUAAUUGUGGUAUUUUCAUAUAAAAUCGUAAUCUAGUAACCAGGGUGUUACAAGUUGGUAUCAGAGCCCCGGUUUAAGGGAUUCAAGUAUGGUGGGGAAAACCAUGCUUGGACUUAAACCUUAUGCUCUUGAUAAAGAUUGGUGUUCGGUUCGAGGCUUGAUCGUAAAUCCGGUAAGUACAUGUAUAUUAAUGGUUUAGCGUGUUAAGGUGUUGUAAACAACACAUAGGGUUAUCGUGUUAUACACGUUACCCCAAUUAAAUGAUUGAUAUAGUUGACGAAAUUACGCGU